rnacentral:tRNA from 1 species
GGUGGCUCAGUGGUAGAGCUCUUGCCUUGCAUGCAAAAGGCCCCGGGUUUGAUUCCUCAGCACCA